rnacentral:lncRNA from 1 species
GAACCAUGAGGCAGAAAAAGAAGAAGACAGUGGUUACUUAGAGGAGGAGGAGGUAUCUGCAGAGGUUUUGCAGAUUGGGCACCAACUCUUCAUCCGCAACCACUCUUGCACACACUUCAAAUGGUAUGUGUGCUCACAGUGUAGCCUUCCAACUUCAUCACCUAUUGUAUACUCUUCCUGAAAACCAAAAAAAAAGAUCAUAUGUAUGAAGAAAUCACCCAUUAUCAGUUCCAUAUUCACUGUCAUGAUCACCAAUUCACCAUCAAUGAAACGCUUGUAAUCAUCAAAGAUUCCCACAUAUCAGUUCAUAUCAGUUCUAUAUUCACUGUCAUGAUCACCAUCAAUGAAACGCUUGUAAUCAUCAAAGCAUUAAAAAAAGAGACAGACCUGGCAGAUGCUGCAUUUGGCAUCUUCCUUGUGAUCACAAGGUUUUAUCUGAUAGAUGCUUGUUUUUAAGCUCUUUGAUAUGGCUUCUUCUGUGAGAGCAGUUCUUACUGUACCAAUUCUCUCUUCUAAAGCUAACAGUUCCUGUAUUCAUUCACAAGAAAUAAAAAGACAAAAGGUAAAGAUACUACUUCUCAGAACGUAAAGGCGAGUUUGAAGAUGUAAAAGACAAACCUCAUAGGACAUGUUAUCAAUGUCUAGCCUCAUGUCACGGUGUUGGUCGUAGAAGCUUAGCCCACCAAGAAGUAAACCUGACUCCAUGAUAAGCAGUUCCUCGUAAUUAAGCUCAAUAUCUUGUUCAAUCCUAUCAAGUUCUGGCAAAAUCUGCAAAAAAAAGUAUUGUGUUAAGGGCUCUAUUUGAUGAUGCUCAGACAAGAUGUCAAGCAAUAGUUACCUCAGAGAUCCCAUCUAAAUUGUAAUUGUGAAAACUGUCUUGACUAGAUAAAGAACCAAAGUCUGGGAAACCAGAGAAGAGCUCCAAAGAGACAGGAGAGUUCAGAUUGUUUGAUGUCUCAGUCUGAGACAUCUCUCUUGUUAUAAUAGAGGAUAAUCCAUUUCUACCAAUCCCUCGGUUUUGAGAAUCUAGUGCGGCUAUCACCUCUAUUUACUGAUCUCUGACUCCCAACUGAAGCAUCAUUCAGAAUGCAAUGCCUAGCCCGUCUAGUGUCUAAAACAGAACCUCCUCGGGGGUUAAAGGCAAGACGUCUCUCUUCAGAAGGUAGUUCUGAUACUAUCUUAAUAAAGGGCUGCAUCCUCGGUUUGUUGACUGGCUAGAAGGACCAGGACGAAACUCUUGCUUGCUCAAAGCAAAUACAAGAUAUUUGGAAGCCUUCUUUUCAUUUAGUGUUGCAUUGCCCCUAUGAUAUUAAUUAUCAACAAGCCACUUGCAACAACCCCGAGUUUGACUAUGUUCGGACCCUAAAAGACCAGGUGGCUAAACAAGGCUAAUGCCUUCCUGUAACUAAAUUUGGAACCUGAAACUAUUUUAUGUUGUCCCCCACAUGUGUGAUUCGGAGAUAUCACUAAUACAAAAAAGUGUCUUUCAUGGACAUAAUACUCUCAUUCAAAAGAACCUUAAUUAUUUUUGUGUUAUAAUAAGCAAAUACGAAAUUUCACAGUACACAGAACAUACAGUAGAGCAACCAUAUAUAUAUGGUCAACUUGGGAGAGUCCUUGAAUCAGUUGUCCUUAUUAAUCUCUCCACCGUUAAAGGCUACAGCUGCUGGUCCGGCCACACCAAGCUAUACAUAUGAAGAAGAAAUUAUAUAUGUGGGUAAUUAAGCAAAUGAAAUAAGAAGAAACAAAACCGUUUUAAGAUUAUAUACCAUGGUUGUCUGGUUGUCGUGUAAAUGUAACUUGUGCAUUUGAGAAGAUAUGUCUUCUCCUUCUUCUUUCUUGUGCAGAUCUGGGUUCAUGGGAAUGAGUUGAUUCAUCAUCGUAAACAUCUCACUAGUGAAAAAAAUUGCAACCGAAAGGAUAUCAAAAGUGUAUCCGUUAUCUCUAGCAUCCUCCCAUCUGCAGCAGCAUUGGCAAAAACUCAAAAAGUGUUAAAAAAAUUUAAGAAUAUAGUCACUGCUACUACUACUAGUACUUAGUACUGUUAGUUAGUGAUCUAAAACAAAAACAAAGUAAUCAAUUAUAUAUAUCCAGUUAUUUAUGUUUUGCGAAUUUUUACUCCUUAGAGCAUAUUAUCGGACUGAAGUUCUUAAAAUCUUUUUUCUUUUCUUUUUUAGUUUUCUGAUUUUUUUUUAAAGUCAACCAAUCGCGGACCACCACGUGUCGUGGGGCCCGCAAACCGUGCAGAGGACGUAGCAAGGACGUUCCCUAUUUAACGACUUCUCUCCCUUGUCUCUUCUUGGUUUUGCCAAAUUGUGGUCCCCCCUCUCCUAAAGACACCAACAAGGACUUGCAAUAAUGUUGGUCUUCGGACAACAUUAUUGGUUCUACAAAAUUUUGUCCUUAGAAUAAAUUAGUAUUAUUUUUUAGUGAAGGACAAAUGCAUAAGGACUUUUUAAUUUUGUUGAUUAUUGGUAGGACAAAAAAAAUCCUUAGCAUAUUUUAUAAUAUUUAUUUGAAACAAACAUUUGAUCAAAAUGUGUUUGCUUCUUUUGUUUGGUGGGAUGGAUAGAAUAUGAGACAAACGUUUGAUCAAAAUGUGUUUGCUUCUUUUGUUUGGAGAGAACGAGAGAAGGUGAACUUGUUAUGCUAAACAUGUUUUGACAGGGAACAAGAUCAUCUCAACAAUGAAACGUGAAGCAGAAAUAAGUAGAGUAAAUCUUUGAUUACAAACUAUAUAAAAAGGUAGUUUCUAUGUUCUACGUGCAAGAGACUCCUCCUUGCACAAUCAGAACAACGAUCACAAAAUCAAAUCCACAUACCCGAAACCAAAAAAAAAAAGAACAGAACAAUUAAGAAAAAAUCAGAUAAUGUUUGCCCCUGCAUCCAGAUUUGCCCAGCAAAAUCCAGAUUUGCCCAGCAAAAUCAGCUCAACCACAAUCUUUCCCUCUACGCCUGCAAGAAUCAAGCAACAAGAACCCAUAAAAAAGUAUUACAACUUGCACAUAUAUAAGAAGAAAAUAAAUAAAACAAAUUGUGGUUUGGCAAGAGAAACGUUAUAAGCAAGAGAAAAAGAACAGGAACUAGUUGUCAAGUGUCUGUCGGAUUCUCUCGGGAGCUCAUUCUCCUACCAUCUCACCCAGUAACAUAGCAAAAUAAAUAUGAACUGAUUAAGCUAAAAACAAAUUGGGAAAAACACAGAGCUUACAAACCCAAUGAAGAAGAGGGGACAAAGUAAACUUUGUGGGUAAUUCAUUCAGGUGAACCAUUGAUCUGAAUAUCAAAGUAAACUUUGUGGGUAACUCCUUCUAAAUCCUCUCCUACCUGAUAAAUCCCACAACGCAGAGAAACCCCAAUUACAAAGUCUGACCACAUCUUUACGAUAGGCAAGUGUGACGCAGUCAUCGGAGACAGUCUCGAAGAGGCGGAGGAGAGACAUCUCGUGAUGUUGGAGGCUAGGAUUCAGCCUCUGCCUGAUGAUAGGCGUCGAAGAAAGGGUCCAGAGAAGUAGCCUCUGCCUGAAGCUAUGGCUUCCCUUCUUCAGUUGCUGGGGAUCAUCGCGCCUUCCGCCAUCGAUCUUCAUCUCUCUCUCUUCUCAAAGAGACAAGGCCCAAAGGGCAACACGUGAAUCAUUUCUCAAACCAAAACGCUUCCACCAUUCCCUUGCCGACACGUAUCACCUAAGGACAAAAAAAAAUAUGUUAGCCAACGACAAACCGCGUCCGUCCCAGCGAAAUUAUACAAUUUUUAUUUAAAUAAAAUCAUAUAAAGCCUAACGACUUCCUCUAUCAUACCCCGUUAAUGUUGCCCUUAAGGCCUUCAUGUGCAAUGCGUCGCCUAUCACGUCUGAUAAACUCGUGCGUUUCUGGUAUUGGCAUAUCCAUCAUCCCAUAAGGUCGGGAAGAGAUCAUCAGCAAAAAUCCUGCUUUUAUGUUGUCACCUCUACGAUUAAAAGGAAAAAAGAAAACAAAAAAAAGUCACAACACCAUAAAAAAAGAGAAAACAAAGAUUUGCAAACAAAAAAAAGGCAGAGGGGUCGUGAGUUUAGAAAAAUUCUCUCGACAUCUCUCUCCCCACCAAACACUUUUCUUUCGCCGACAACCUCUAUUUCUCGCCUCCGGUGGCCGACGGAGACUCUCUACCCGCCGGUCGCCACCCCAUCUCCGCUCCCUUAUCCAAUUCCUCUUCACCUGUUAUAUCUUGGCCUCUUCACGUCCUCCUUGCUUCUUUAUCUCUGGUCUUCCUCCGGAUAGCGUCCGGAUCCGGCAAAGAAACCGGUGUCUGGGUGUGUAUUCAGACUCCCUGGAGUGAAGGCGAGUUCGUGUUUGGCCUGAGAUCCGCAGGAGGCGCCGUUUUGAUGGUGGAUCUAGGGUUUGGCUUAAAGUAGAUCUGGGUCAGAUCUUCACUGGAGGUUUCGUCGGAGUUCCUGUGCGUCGCUGCCACAGCCUCUCGGACCAGCUCCUCCUCUGUCUUCUCCUGUCUCCUCUCUCGGUUGCUCAAGCUAGAACUUCCCCCUCUAGAUCUGUUGGUCAUAGUUGAAAAGGCGAAGUCGAGGUAUUCGCCGGGGACUUCUUUUAUGUUUGGUUUCGCACGGCUACCAUGGCUUUGUUAGGUUCGGAUCUGUUCAUCGGUUCGUGGUGGCUCAGAGCUUGUGCCGUUGCUCUGCUUCGCCAUAGCGCUUAAGGACGGAUCUUUCUCACCUUCUGCGCCUGUUGAUGGGAGCUUUGCUUCCCCGCAUUUAAAGUUUCAGAAGGAAGUUGAUCGUCGCUACCUGCCUUUCCCGAAGCUCUGAAUCUGGAAUCUUGUGUGCUCUGCUCGUGUGAUGGGACCGGAGCUGGAGCCGUUAAACCUCCGCUUCCAUCAGCUUGUAUCUUCACCAGUGCUUCAUUGCCAGUUUCUUUGAUUUGGUUUAGGAUUCACAGGGAUCCGAAGGUCAUCUUCUGGAGUGUUCAGUGUCUGGAGUAGGCUUCAUCUGGUGUAAUGACCGGACCAGGACGAUGCCAACCCUGCUUCGCUUGUUUUCCCUUUAGGAGCCGCCUUCGGGAUGGUCUGCGGUGCCUCAGACCGUUCUCUGGCUGUUAUCUUCAAUGGUCUUAGUUCUUGAUUCAGGUUCCGGUAUCAAGCCAAUACUUGGAUCUCCUGAAACUCAUCUGUUUGUUGCUGAAAUCAUAGUGAUAGCUAAGUUUUAAUCAUAUCCUUUGGGAUUAAGAUUAAACCUUCCGUGUUUUAGAGGAUCUUUUUUAGCAUUUUUUGGGGUUCUCUUCAACUUAUUUGCUUUGUUUAGCAAAAUUAGAUGCAUUAGGCUUUGAGUUCCUCAAAACUGAUUGUAUUACCUUGUCUCAUUACUCUGUUAAUGAAAUUCACAUACUUAUCAAAAAAAAAAAAAAAAAAGGCAGAGGUUUACUCGACAAGAAACUUGAAGAAUCUCUGCCUCUUAACAAAGUAGAACAUGAGGUUUGAGUAAUAAUUUGAAUCCUGUGUGGUGAAAACAGACAGAUACUCCUCGGCUCCAUCGACGUCCCCACUAACAAGUAAUGCAAAAAAAUGUUCUCUGUCGAAACUGCAACAAAGGAAAAGAAAAACUUCACAUGCACGUACAACAACCAAGUUAAACCAUUCAACAAGACUGAUUCAUUCAUUCAUUCGUGCAACUUACGUUGUAGGGAGACUAGUUUCCAAACCCCGAAUCAGAUCAGCCCUCAUGGAAUCCAUUCUAUACUGAGAAUCGCUUCCCCUAAAAAUUACCAAAAAAAAUGAUCAAACCCUAGGCGGCCAUAACAGGAGAAAGGAAAGAAAGAAGACACACUGCCCUAGGUUUUGUCAGAGUUUUCCUGCCAACCAAUCACAAUGAAGCCCAAACUCAAGCCCAAUCCUCAAUUAGCUCUUUUAUUUCUUUUUUUUCCUGUGAUACAUACCGAUUUUAUUUAUGAAUAUAGCCCUGAAAAGUCUUCUGAAUCUUAUCUUAUGAGAUGUUGUAAGUCGUCUAGACAAUAAUCAUAUAAUUAUAAACAGUUUUAAGUGAUAUAAAUUAAAAUAUAAUAAAAUCAAAUUGUUUUCAACAUAGACGAGUGAAAGUAAUGAAUCAUGAUAUUCUUUGGUUUAGGGUUUGUCAACAUAUGUUGUAGUAUUAUUUGUAUUCUUAGAAUUAAAUUAACGGUUAAUUUAGUUUAGAGAUUAUAUUUAGGGUCUAGACGACUACUUACCUAGUGUUAAAGGAAGUGGAAGAGGUAAAGGACGGGCCAAAUAAACUGUAAGAAAAACUGUGUACACAACAAACUUAGUGCAGUAGGGAGAAUAUAUUAUGAAGUAGGAUUAUGUGGACCUUUUUUUUUUUUUUUUGUUAUUUGUCCCACUCUGUUUGUUUACCAAGGUAUUUGUCCCUUGGUCAUCUACUAAGAGGAUUUGUCUUAUGGAGUUGUGUCUGAAUCUUUAAUGUUUAUGUUGUAAGAUUGAAACUUGGUUUCCUUGUAGCUGACGGUCUUUGCAGUUUACAUAAAUUAGAAACUUUUUAUUUGACCAACAAUCAUCUAAACUGUCACUUCCAUUAAAUAUAACUACUUUUAACAUAAAUUUUGACAUGAUCUGAUAAUAAUAAUAGUACCUAAUUUCAACAGAAGAUCAAAUUGCUCUCAGAUCAGAUGGCUGCAAAAGGAUUCAUGUGAUGAUGUUUUUCUUGGUUUUUAGAUUUUAGUUUUUUGGAUUUUGAUUUUUGAUCUUUGGAUUUUGGAUUUUGAUUUUAGUUUUUGAUUUUGCAGUAUAUUUUAGUUUUUUGAAAAACCUGAAUGAUUGUUUUAGUUUUUGGUUUUUGCUUUUAAAUUAAUAAAAUAAAAAUAUUAUUGAUAGACAAAUAUUUAUUCUGAAAUAAUCAAAUAUAAAUAUUGUCAUAAAAACAUAUAUAAAUUUAACUAAUAAAAAUAUUUUAAAACAAAACUGUAAAUACAAAAUAAAACUAUUAAACUUUAGUUUCUAAUUUUUGGAUUAUGACUAUAAUUAAUUUAUUAUUUUUUAAAAAGUUAAAAUUUAAUAAAUAAAAAUACAUAAUAAUAAUAUAUUAAUUACGAGGAAAAUAAUAAAUAAUAUAAACUAUUACAAAAUAGUUAUUUUUAUUUAAAUAAACUCAAACAAUUAAAUAUAUUUAACACUAUGAUAAGUGUAUAAAUUUAUGUAGUUUAAAUAUUAAUAGGUAAAGUUUUAAAAUAAAAAUAAUACAUAGUGCAGUAAUAUAUUGUAUUUAUAAACUUAUAACAACUUUAAUUUAAUUUCUACAAUAAAAUUAUAUGGUAAAAUAUCUGUUAAAACAUUAUUAAAUAAUUUACCUAAAAAAAGCAACAAAUUUUAAUAAAAUAAAUAUAUUUUUCUAUUAGAUUUUAUAUGUCAGAUAAAUUAUUUUUAUUCAACUAUAAUUAUUCAGAAUAAUUACUGUUUAAUCAGUUUAAUUUAUAUAGAAAUUGUUUUUGCUAUUUUAAUGCAUUAAUAUAAGAAUAUUCUAACAAAAAAAAAAUAUUCACGAACAUUGAAGAAAAACCAAGAAAACAUGGAUUUUGGUUUUUGUUAAUAAAUAGUAGUUAUUUUCAAAUUUUGGUUUCUUAAAACUUAAAGGAAUUUAUUUUCUAAAAAAAUGAUUGGUAAAAAGUAGUUAUUAGAAAAGCAAAAAGCAAAAACUGUUUUAAAAACCACAAACGAUCAACCUUUCAGUCCGGUGCAUUUUAGCUCGACUUGGUCCUGCGAUCGAACCGGUAAAUCCGACGACCCGAUAGGUAAUCUAGUCUGGGUUUAAAAACCAGCUAAAAAACUCAAUAAACGCGGCAACCUGACAACCGGUUGAACCAUCGACUGAACCGGCAAGUGAUUUUUACUUUAAGAAAUUACUUGGGUCUAUAAUCUAUUUCUCAACAAUAACUAUUAUAUAGUAUCAGAUUUCCACCGAACUAUGACCUCGUGCUGCAUCUUCAUGAAUUGAAAGUUAUAAAUUUAUUUAUCCUCGGUUGAUUGUUCGAAACUUAGUUCUCCAUAGACAAUUAUUUUAAUCGGUGUACUAGUUUUAAUUGGUUUACUAUUAACUAAACAAAUUUAAAUCAACUAAACCAAAGAAAAACCCAGAUCAUAUAUAUAAUAUUUACCUUCUUUAACAGCCAUCUUAAACCAAACAAAAAGAUUUGUCGCUAUUAUCAUUAAUCAUCAAAAGUCACACGAAUCUGACCAACACAAUUAGCACCUUUAGUUACAACACAUUCAAAGUCUAUAUAAGCCUUUUACUGCUUUUGCUCACGCCAUUGAAACAGAGUAGUCAUGAGGAGAAGGAGUUUGAUAUCCGAAACGCUUGGCAAGUGUUAAUGGUGCUUGGCAAGUGCUAAUGGUGUUGGUGAAGAAGGAGAAGAAAGGUCCGUGAAGAAGAAGAUCAAUUCUCUUUUACAAAAUUGGGGUUUGUUUGGUAAAUUUGGUUUAAAAUAAACCGAUUAAAACCAUAGUCUAUGGGAAAAUAAGUUUUGAACUAUCGAUUCGAGGAGAAAUAAGUUUACAACUUUCAAUUUAGAAAAUCUAGAGAAGUCAUGGUUUGAUGGUGAUCUAAUGCUAUGAUAUUUAUUGUGGAUAAAUAGAUCGUCGACCCAAAUUACUUUAUUAAAAUCUGUUUUUAUUAAGUUAGUUAUCACUCCUAAUUUAUUUACCAUUACAUUAUUUAACAUACAUGUCAAAAGAAAAAGAUCAUAUGACAUGUAGGUUUUUGAAAAAGAAGAACCUGAUGAGGUUGAUUAAAAUGAAUUAGAGAAUGAUCUUGCUGAAGGAAUAGAACAUCCCAAAAGUGAUGAAGAAACAACCCCCCCCCCCCCCCCCCCCCAAAAUCUUCAUAGUAUUUUUCAAAAUUUUGUUGAACUUUUUAAUUUUUUAUUAUACAUAAUAUCGACUAAACUAUUUUAUUUGUAAAUUUAAAAUUUUAAUGAAAAUUUCACUAUGCCAUCUGAAUGAAGUGAACGAUGAUAUAGAGAACCACAAUUAGGUUAUGUAUUUUGGUAUUGAUUUUUUUAUUUGUUAUCGAAAAUCCUAAGUUUUUACUUUUGUUUUAUUUUGGAUUUAAAUUUUAGUUUUUAUUCACAUAAGACCUUAAAAACUUCUGAAUUUUAAGUAUUGCCAUAUUUAUUUAUACUAUUAAAACAUAAGACUGUUUUUUGAAGUGCCCUUAUGUUUCAACAAUAUUUACAUGCCAGUGCCACUGGAUUAUUUAAAACCUAUGAUUUUAAUUAGAUGCUUCAUAUUUUUCAAGAAACCUUUAUAUUAACAACUAGAUAUGAGCCCGUGCGUUGCAACGGAUUUUGUUGGAUGUUUUAAUUUAAUAAAGAAAUAAAUAAUUUUACUAUACUUUUAGGAUUAUUUUUGCAUAUGAUAUGUGAGACUUAUUUUAUAAUUAAGAACUCGUUUUUACACAUAAAUUACAGUUAAUAUUUGUAUUUUAUAAUCAUAGUGCAUAUGUGAAUUUUUAUCAAUUUUCUACUAAGUGCUAGAGAAAACACUCAUACCUAUAACUUUAAACCCAAUCCAACCCAAAUUAAGAAUUAGAAUAUAAAACAAUUGAAAGUUAAAUAAGGUCAAUCGAGUCAAUGACAACAUCAUACACUUUCUUAUUUAAUAAUUUAAUAUUUUAUUAAACUUAUCUGAUGCUUAAUAAUUUUCUUAAUUCAUUAUUUCUUAAUGACAUAUUUCCAUAACAACAUUUUAAUUAAAAACGAAGUAGAAAAAUAUUACAUAGUAAAAAAAUGUAAUAAGAUGGCGAUUAAACUUACUUUUUUAAAAAAAAAUGCAUAUAAAAAUCACUUCAGUGACAAUAAUAAUAAUAACCUAUUUCUUAUGACCAAACAUGAAAACAUAUAUGAGACAUGUGUAUAAUUUUUGUAUGACCAAACAUAUAUAAAUAGCAAUCAUGAAGACAUCCUAAUUUUAUAUAUUUUUAAUUAAAUAGUUUUAACAUCAUACUUGUCAUAAAAUUCUUUUUUUAAUUAUUAUUACAUAAUUUUACAAUUUAUUUUUGUUUAGAUUUUCUUUAAGGGAUCCUUUUCAUUUACAAUCAAAUAUAUUUUUAUAUAUAUCAAAUACUCUUUUACACUUUUGUUUUAGGAUUUUAGAAAAGGAAAAUUACUAUCAUAUAACUAUUUACAAUUGUCUUCUGCUUAAAAUUCUAGAAAAAAAUAAUUUUUAUCAAAUAAUUAUUUUUAGUUACUAUUAAAUAAGUUUAAAAAAAUACUAUUUAUACAAUUCGUAUCUAAACUAAUUUUAAACAGAUUGAGUAAUUUUUUAGUCUCAUGUUCAUCUUCAAAUUCUCUCUUAAAAACCUUACCAAAUAAAUUUUUACAAUUUCAUUUUGGUUAAAACUUAAAAAUAUGAUACAAAACUCUUCUGUUUAUGACUUUUAAAAAAUAUAUCAAAUAUUCUCUUACAAUCUAACCCUUCGUACACGCGGGCGCACAAAGAUCAGCCGCGUACACCGCAACCAGAACACGGUCACCCGCACCUGCCCGUCCCUGAGACCUCACCACCCCGGGAGACUAGGCCGCUAUCUGAGAUUAGUGAUGAGGAAUUUGAUAUCCCCCCUCUCUAUGACGACGUUUCUUACGAGGCUGAUGAUGUACCGAAUCUUAACGUAGACGACAACAAUGUUGAACCUACAGUGGGAAAGCUGUACGCAACCAAGCAAGACUGUCAAAUUUACUUAGCUAUCUAUACUAUCAAGAAGCGCUUUCACUUUAGGCAAACCCGGGCCACAAGGAACUCAUUUGUGCUCAGUUACCACGACACCCACUGUGAUUGGCGCAUAUAUGCCAAAGAACUCUCAACAUGUGGUUAUUACACUAUAAAAAAGGCUCAGCUGGAUCAUACCUUCCCGUUGGACCAGCGCGAUCAAUACAAGACGAAUGCCACUUUGAAAGUCAUUGCUCAUGUCUACCGUUCCCGUUACGGGGAACCAAACGACGGCCCAAAAGCUGCUCAGCUACAACAACUUGUGCUGGAGGACUUGAGUGUCUCUGCCUCGUACAUGAAAUGUCACCGUGCCAAAGAAAAAGCUGUCGACAACACUGUUGGUAAUGCAGAGGACUCCUAUCUUAACCUUGCUUCAUACUUUGAAAGGUUGAAACAGACCAACUCCGGGACCAUCACAGCCAUUGAAACUGAACUUGACGAUUUUGGUAACUCCCGUUUUCUCUACACAUUCCUCUCCUUUGGCGCUUCAAUAAUGUAUUACAACACAUCAUAAUUGGGGGAAAAUUGCGUUAGCAUCAUAAAAUGUAAUAAGAUUAUAAAAAAAAUGAGUUUUAUCAAGACUAUCAAGAAGUUAAAAUAAAAUACUUAGGUAAUACUUUUCUCGUAAAUAAUAUUUCGUUUUGUAAAAAUAAUAUGUGGAAACUUAAACCUAAAUAUAGUUGUGAAAUAUUUGUAGCUAUUUUUUUGGUUUAUAAUUUUUUGACAUACAAUUACCUAUAAAAAAUGAAAGUUUGUUAUUUAUAGUAAAAUAAUAGUAAUACUUUUAUUAGGCUUUUAAAAAAUAAAUAUUACUUAUUUAUAGUUAGUUUUACUUUAUGAUUUUUAUUAAAUAAUUUAUUGUACUUGUAGGAUUUUGAUAAUUCGUUUUUUAAAAAAUUUUAGUUAAUAUUUUUCUUUCACUGUUUCCUUUCUUUAGUAUCUUUAAAAACGAAAAUUAUAUAUUUUUUUAAACAAAAAAAAUUUACUUUCAAAUAAUCUUUUAUAAUUAUUUACUUGUUUAGGAUUUAAAAAAUAAUAAAAAUUAUUAUCCCAUAAUUUUAAUAAGAUAUAAUUGUAAAAUACUAUGUAAUAGUAAUUGUUCUUUUCCAAAAUCUUAAAAAGAAUUGUAAAAAGAUAUUUUUGUAAUAAUAUAUCAUAUUUUAAAAUCUUAAAAAAUGAUAUUAUAUUUUUGACACAUGUCACAAUCUUAAAAAAAAUUGACACAUGUCGCGAUUAUGUUAAUUAGCAACUUUAAAGAACCAAACUUUAUAUAAUAAGAUCUCAUUAUUCUGUAGAAUCUCUUCAAACCCCUAUUUUUAUGUGUUAAGUCGACAACAGAAUAUAUCCCUUCGCAAAUAUACAUUUGAUUCAAUAAAUGAUGAAUUUCCUAAUAAACUUGCUUAAUAAAUAUAAAAUCGGGUUGCAACAUAAUUAUAGAAAUUGUAAUUUGAAAGUUAACAAAUUAAUAGCAAUAGUUUAUGCGUAAUUUUAGACAGAAUAUUUCUAGAAAUAAAAUACUACCAAAUCUUCUGAACGUUCAAAAGUUAUUUUUUUAAACAAAUUAAAUACAAGACAUUCAGAUUUAUAAAUUGCAUCAUCCCCAAAAAGGCAAAAACCUAUUUAAUCACUUUUUUUGUUUCACUUAAACACUUUAGAGACCAGAAGUUUUGCUUAGUGGAAUAAUUAAGAAUGUGUCUCUCACAAACAGAUCCAUUGCUAGAUAAGAAGAGUGUGAUUGGUAAGAGCUGUGAUUUCUUUUUUUUUGCUGUAAAAAUAUUGAUGUGACUUUUUUGGCUUUGGCUCUAAAUUUUUAACUUUUAAAAGUCUUCAAAUCUGGGCUGUAGGAAUUUGUUUCUGCAGAACAAUUAUAAAUACAUAAAUUUAAAGAAGUGUUGUGAACUAAAAAAAAUGACUGAGCUUUAAAAAAAAUAUAAAUCAAGAUUGGUAUAAAUUUAGAACUAUGGGUAUAAUUGUGGCUGUGGAGAACAACUACAGCAAUAGUCAAUCACACCCGAAGUAGAAUGACUCUUAAUCAGGGGUCAACAAUUAACAUGCUUUUUAAACCGAAAUGCAAUCAUUCAGGUAUUAAUGUCUUCUCUUUUUGAAUGGGUUGAUGAUAUACAUACAUAAUUUUUCUAGAGGGGGAUUCUCCGUAUAUCAUGGUUGUUACAUAUUUCCAAACUGUAAUAUCUAAAACCUUGGGCUGCUAUGGGCAUUAUUGCUUGUUUAGUUUAGCUUAGCAUUAACAUAGGCAUACAUACAUUAUAGGUGUUUUUUUUUGCUAAAACAUAUAUAGGUGUUAGUUAUUCAUAGUUUUUGUUUACUGGUGAAAUCAUCCUUCUUUUCCCCAUGUUUUGAUACAUACACUAAUAAAGAUCACGCUCAGAUGAGAUAAAUCACGACGGAUGCUUACUGUCAAUUUUUUUUGCAGGUUUUCGAAAAUUCUAUAUGGUAUCUACAGAUUGGUUUUUAGUAUGGAAAAUACCUCAUAGAAUAUAUUCUUUAGGUUUAGUUUAAGUAUAUAUGUAUAAAAAAUAAAACGUGUUAAAACAAUAAAAACUAAAUAUGAAAGAUUAAAACUUCAACAGAUACAAUUCUGUUUUGAAUAUUAUAGACUACUGUGUAUGAUUGCUAUAAUAUAUUCAUAUUUAUACAAUCUUAUUCCCUUCGUAUGUAAAUAUAAUUUCAAAUAAAACUGCUGAUUGAUAGAGAUAUCAAUUCUAUUUAAACAGCACAGAAGACAGUCUGUUACAAAAUUCAACACUAUUAUGGUUUAAAUAUUUUAGAAACAUUCUCAUUAUAUGGUGAUAGAAUCAACAUAUAAUGAAUUUUGCAGAAACUGUUGAAAUAGAGUAUAUAAACCUAGGUGGGAAUGUUGAUAAAAAAAAAACCUAGGUGGGAAUUUUUAUAAUAGUUAAAGCUAUAAUUUACAAUGAUAAAAACAACUAAAACGAUUUAAUCUCGCCUAAAAAUGUAGUCUUAAAAUAUAAUAACAGUGUUAAUAUAUUUUAUUUUAGAUUUUAAAAUAUAUUUAUUUUUAUAAGAACAUUACAUAAUUUGAAGAAUUAAUUUUGAAGUUAUCAAUUAAAUGUUAUUAUAAAUUUAUAUUAAUUUAGUUUUGGUAUAUAUAUAAUGAAUAAAGUCAACAUUUUAAAAAUAAACUAAACAUUGAAUUAUUUGAUAAAACUAUAAAAUUAGACAAUAUUUAUAUCUUAUUAUUUUUUGACAUCUCCUUAGGUUUUCCAAUAUUAUAAGUGCGUUACUGCAUUUUUCUACGUAUUGUAAUUAUUAAAUUAAUGUUUUUUGAACAUAGUUUAGACCUAUUUAAGCUCGCCUAACAUCUACAUAUUCCACAAAACUCUACAUUAUAAUAUCAUAACAGUCUUAAUAUUUUAUUUAUAAAAUCUCUCACUAAACAAAAAAAUGAAACCAAAGAAAAAAGUGAAAUCAAAACCGCCCCUAUACUAUCAAAGAUAAGCUCUCCUCAUUUUAGCUGCUUGCCUCUGUCCGGUAUGCAUCCAACAUGCGACUCUGUUUCCAUAUUAUUAUAUUUUUACCAACUAACUUAAAAAGUGAAUUAUAAGUCAGAGAGAUGGCUCUAAAAUUUUUGUAAUCUUAUUUAUUUUAAUCUACCUAGCCACGAUGAGAAUAGUAUAGCCAGGCUGAGAUAUACAAAAUCCAACGAGUACUACUGCACCAAGUAAAUAAAAUCUAAACCGAGAAAUCAUAAAUAAAAACUUACAAUACGGAAUUUGACUCGAAAAUAGAUAUUAUUGCUACAAAGAACAAUUAGUGUAGGAAGGUUGUACUCAGUUUGCGAGAGGAGGGAGAUCAGAGAAUCGAAAAGCUCUAGUUACAUAUAUAAAUAUUUUGAUAUUUCUAGCUAUGUUAUAUAGUAGGAAAAGUAGAUUAAAAAACCUUGGCGACUUUGUGAGAAGCUUGGUGUCUAGCCAUACCAAUAAUGUUGAUUCUAAAAGCAGUCGAGCGAGCAAAAUCUCAAUAAGCAAAACUUUAUCAAGACGCAGAGAAAGGACAUUACAGAAGACCAAAAAAACAGAGGAUACAAAAAGGAAGAAGAAGAAGAAGAAGAAAAGGAAUAAAAGCGAUCAAAGCCUUCGGACAUUCAAAUCUAAAGGCAGUAGGAAUUUAAUCGAAGCAAAGCAGAGGAGUCUUAAAAGAGAGAUAGAGAGAUAUUUGGUCGGAAGAAAGUUACUUCUUUUGUUCGGUUUUUUUUUGGUCAUUUGUCUGAAUUCUCUCUGGGUCAAUCAUAGCCAAAAAAAAAAAAAAAAGGGGGUUGAAGCUUGGGUCCCGCUUCUCUCAUUGCGCAAUUCGAAAUUCAUCCUCCUUUUUAAGGCAAUUCGAAUCCGUCGCUCUGUUCUCAAACCUUCACUGAUCUCAAUUUGCGGUAAAAUUCUCAAAGUUCCAAGCUUUCAAAGUGGGUUUUGAAAGAUAAAAAUGCUCUGCUCUGCUCUGAUGCAGUUUCCUGUGAAGUUCGUGUUUGAUUUGGUAAUUUUUGAGCUAGGGGUUUGGUAAUAAUAAUAUAUCCUGUUACUGAGUCAGCCCAGGUUCUUGGUGUUGUGAGCUAGAAUAGUAUAUGCUGAGUUCUUGAAAUGCUCCUGGAUUGGGGUUUGAGAAGUUGUAAUAAGUCAAUGAGUUGGAUUUGUUGGUGUGAAGGAUUUCAUCAGUUUUAGAGUUUAGAAGAAGGAUAAGUAUGCAAGGUCACGAAGAAGAAGAUCACAGGACUGAUCUGGCUGACCUGAAAUUGCAUAUUGUGAAGAAGGUUGGGGCUGAGAGAUGUAGAAGGUAUUUUUAUUACUUGGGUAGGUUUCUGAGUCAGAAGGUUACCAAGAGCGAAUUUGAUAAGUCAUGCCACCGUCUUUUAGGGAGGGAGAAUCUUCUUCCUCUGCACAACAAGUUGAUUCACUCCAUCUUGAGAAGUGCAUCCCUUGCUAAAUCCCCACCACCUACUGGUCACCCUAACCAUAAUAGGAGUGAUCAUGUUUUCUCAAAUGGGGUGUUACCCAAGGUGGCAAUAAGAGACAGGCCUAGUCCACUUGGGCAAAACAAAAAGGUUGAGAGUUCGUUACAUCAGCCACAUUGUAGUGGUAACAGAAACAUGGAGAAUGGAGGCGGUGCAUUACUGGAUAAAGUUAAGGUCGCUGCUCCAGUUAUCAGAGAUGAGGAAGCUCGAGAGGAGCGAGGUAGAUUGACUCUUUCCACUACCCCUGUAGUUGCACCUCUAGGGAUUCCAUUUUGGGAAGCUAGUGUCGGUGUGGCCUGCAGAGCAAACAGGGCUGACUUCAUUAGUUGCUAUGACAGUGGUGGAUUGUCAGACACAGAGAUGCUGAGAAAGAGGAUGGAGAGUAUUGCAGUAGCACAUGGUCUUGGAGGUGUUUCACCGGAGUGUACUAGUAUGUUAAAUAACAUGUUGGAUGUGUACCUGAAGAAACUGAUCAAGUCAUGCGUCGAUUUGUCUGGAGCUCGGUCCACGAUUGGAAACCAAAGUAAUAGUUUGCUGAUACAAACUAGCAACCAACCAUCUGACACAACGCAAGAACAACAUCUUGUGUCUUUGCUUGAUUUUAGAGCUGCAACGGAGCUUAAUCCAUCUCAACUUGGGGAACACUGGCCAUUGCUUCGGGAGGAGACUUUUGAUGCGUUCGUUUGAGGAACGAGAAGGGAUGUGAAGGAACACGUUUGAGAUGUUGGAUAUUGCAAAUUGUCUGAGUAAGCUGCUCUGGUCCCAAUGAUGGCUGAGUGCACAUCUAUGCCCUGCAGCAGCAGACUUGGGCAGUUUGGUGGUAACUUGGCCACUCCAGCGAGUUUCAAGCUCUGUGUAUCAUACAGUCCGGUAAGGGAAUCAGGAGAAAGUUUUGGCAGAGAUACAGGCUGGAGGAAGGUACAAACAAUCAUGCAAUAGCUGCAGUACUGCGUUGUAUGUAACAUAUAGUCUUAGAAUUGUUCAGAUUCAUUUCUUGAAAACACAUUGACAUUUUUACAUUUACUGAGACUAAGAAUGUAAGAUGAAAUCUUUUUUCUUCAAAUGACAUCUUUGGAAUGCAAUAAGCUGAAGAAAAACACAGGAGAGUUGUGUCAUUAGACGAGAACACAUGCAAUAGAGAGAGACAAAAGCCAGUGUGAAUAUGUAUGUACACAAAGGAAAUGCUGAGGCCCUUUUCAGGCGGGUUCCAUUGUUGUUCACAAGCUUUGGAUGAAAUAAAUACUAUGACGAACCAGGAGGCAGAAGAAGAAGAAGACGGUGGUUACUUAGAGGAGGAGGAGGAGGUAUCUGCAAUGGUUUUGCAGAUUGGGCACCAACUCUUCAUCCGCAACCACUCUUGCACACACUUCAAAUGGUAUGCGUGCUCACAGUGUAGCCUUCCAACUUCAUCACCUAUUGUAUACUCUUCCUGAAAACCAAAAAAA